CUGCUACCAGCGCGGACUGUUUCAGUGAAAGUCGUUCUCGCACACAAACCAACACGCUCUCUCGUAAAGCCAAGCCUCUUUUCAGGCCCCUAUACACUGAUUCUCUUCUCUUUCUUCUGUUCCUUUCUCUUCAAUUCCAAUUCCUGUUCCAGUUCCUAUCAAAUUCUCAAUCAUUUCAGGUACCAAUUCCCACUGUUUUCCAAUUUUUCUUUCCCCCCUCUACACAACUGUUUCUGAUCACUUUCUGAUUUUUGAUUAUUCAUUUGUGAGUUCAGAUGGAUUUAAUAUUUUGUGAAAUUUGUGUUUCCCUUUAUGGGAUUUGCUGGUUUUUAAUUUUGAUUGAUUGCUAAUUCUUUUAUGUGAAUUUUACAGCUGGGAUUUGUUAGGUUUUUAUUGGGAUUUUUAAUCCAUGGUUUUUGACGUUGCUUUAAUGGUUUUUAACUUUUUAUUGGGUGGCUCUGUUAUGCUUUUUGGAUUGUUUUAAUACAGUUAUACGUUUUGCUCUAAUGGUGGAUAGCUGGUAGCAGCAUAAGUGAGUAUAAUUUUAGAUGGAUAUUGGAAAUAAUAUACAAGGAUAAUGGGAGGUUGCUGCUGUUGUUCCUCCAAGGGAGCUGAACUUAAUACUGCUCCGGCUUGUUAUUAUUACCCCAGAGCAUCAGAAGAGCAUGUCCCACUAUCAUCUCGUCAUGGUGCUGUUUCUGCCCUCUCCACGGGACUGUUGGUUGAUACAAACCUUGACACAUCGGUCCCUGAUGCAUACAGGCCACCUCCUCCACCUAUGCCAUUUGAUGUGGCUUUAGGAUGUGCUCAAACUCCACAAGGGGCUCAGGAAAUUUCCAGUGACAAAGAUGAUGGAGCAGUGCAAACAACAAAUUCUGAUUCUGUUCAAGAAACUACUGGCAUCAAUACUCGAGAAACAUCAGCUAAGUGUGAAGAUAUGAAGGGUUCAGACUGUAAAGCACAAACUAAUUUGGAGCUCGAUUCAGUAAAGGAGCUAGAAGUUGAGCUCCAAAAGUCGGUUGAACCUCUUAUUUCAGCAACAGAGGAGGAGGAUGUUUGUCCCACCUGUCUGGAAGAGUAUGAUGCAGAGAAUCCAAAAAUUACCACAAAAUGUGAGCACCAUUUUCACCUUGCAUGCAUUCUUGAAUGGAUGGAAAGAAGUGACACCUGCCCAGUCUGUGGCAAGGUGAUGUUAUUUGAUGAAACGACUUAAUCUUUGUUUGUGCGUUUGUGUUGUGGAUGAAGCCAGCAACAACAGGGGAAGAAAGAAAACCAUAAGGAGACUUGUAGAGUUCAUUGUGAAUAUUGCAGGUUAAAGUGUUUGUUUUCUAUGGUAAAUAUUGAAAAUAGUUAAAAAAUAUGGUUUCUUCAAAAUGCCCUUCAAACAUUUUUCAUCAAUAUGAAUGGCAAUCUGCUUAUAGCUUUGUCAAAACAUGGCUUGAGCUUUGGUAUGUUUUGUGCUUCUAUUUUCAGUCUUGAUGCUCUGGUUCAUGUUACCUAGUUUCUUCAGGAUUCUAUCUGUUUGCAAAUAAUUAAGAAAACAAAAUAGGUCUCAACU
rnacentral:misc_RNA from 1 species